rnacentral:pre_miRNA from 9 species
UCUCGAUAGCGUAAAAGUUAACGCAAAUUUGUAUGCUGUUGGAACAUUUGCCUACGUUUGCCGCUAGGGGCGCUUUUUCAACUGCAUAAAAAUUUACCUUAACUUUUACGCUAUCGA